GAUGAACGCUGGCGGCGUGCCUAAUACAUGCAAGUCGAGCGAACAGACGAGGAGCUUGCUCCUUCGACGUUAGCGGCGGACGGGUGAGUAACACGUAGGUAACCUACCUAUAAGACUGGGAUAACUUCGGGAAACCGGAGCUAAUACCGGAUAAUAUUUCGAACCGCAUGGUUCGAUAGUGAAAGAUGGCUUUGCUAUCACUUAUAGAUGGACCUGCGCCGUAUUAGCUAGUUGGUAAGGUAACGGCUUACCAAGGCAACGAUACGUAGCCGACCUGAGAGGGUGGUCGGCCACACUGGAACUUAGACACGGUCCAGACUCCUACGGGAGGCAGCAGUAGGGAAUCUUCCGCAAUGGGCGAAAGCCUGACGGAGCAACGCCGCGUGAGUGAUGAAGGUCUUCGGAUCGUAAAACUCUGUUAUUAGGGAAGAACAAACGUGUAAGUAACUGUGCACGUCUUGACGGUACCUAAUCAGAAAGCCACGGCUAACUACGUG
rnacentral:rRNA from 1 species